rnacentral:rRNA from 1 species
AUGCACGCUGGCGGCGUGCCUAAUACCUGCAAGUCGAGCGAACGGACGAGAAGCUUGCUUCUCUGAUGUUAGCGGCGGACGGGUGAGUAACACGUGGAUAACCUACCUAUAAGACUGGGAUAACUUCGGGAAACCGUAGCUAAUACCGGAUAAUAUUUUGAACCGCAUGGUUCAAAAGUGAAAGACGGUCUUGCUGUCACUUAUAGAUGGAUCCGCGCUGCAUUAGCUAGUUGGUAAGGUAACGGCUUACCAAGGCAACGAUGCAUAGCCGACCUGAGAGGGUGAUCGGCCACACUGGAACUGAGACACGGUCCAGACUCCUACGGGAGGCAGCAGUAGGGAAUCUUCCGCAAUGGGCGAAAGCCUGACGGAGCAACGCCGCGUGAGUGAUGAAGGUCUUCGGAUCGUAAAACUCUGUUAUUAGGGAAGAACAUAUGUGUAAGUAACUGUGCACAUCUUGACGGUACCUAAUCAGAAAGCCACGGCUAACCACGUG